AUCCCUUCCCGCAAGGGGUGCUGCAUAGGUGCUGCAUGGCUGUCGUCAGCUCGUGUCGUGAGAUGAAGAAAAAAAGUCCCGCAACGAGCGCAACCCUUAUUGCCAGUUGCCAUCAUUCAGUUGGGCACUCUGGCGAAACUGCCCCGGAUAACGGGGAGGAAGGUGGGGAUGACGUCAAGUCCUCAUGGCCUUUAUGUCCAGGGCUACACACGUGCUACAAUGGCCGGUACAAACCGUCGCAAACCCGCGAGGGGGAGCUAAUCGGAAAAAGCCGGUCUCAGUCCGGAUUGGAUUCCUCGCCCUCGACUCCAUGAAGCUGGAAUCGCUAGUAAUCGCGGAUCAGCACGCCGCGGUGAAUACGUUCCCGG
rnacentral:rRNA from 1 species